AGCGAACGCUGGCGGCAGGCCUAACACAUGCAAGUCGAGCGCCCGUAGCAAUACGGGAGCGGCAGACGGGAGAGUAACACGUGGGAACGUGCCCUUUGGUUCGGAACAACACAGGGAAACUUGUGCUAAUACCGGAUAAGCCCUUACGGGAAAGAUUUAUCGCCAAAGGAUCGGCCCGCGUCUGAUUAGCUUGUUGGUGAGGUAAUGGCUCACCAAGGCGACGAUCAGUAGCUGGUCUGAGAGGAUGAUCAGCCUCAUUGGG
rnacentral:rRNA from 1 species